GCGUGUUUGCGCGCUGAACUCCCGACUCCCGAGGCAUCGUGCAACUAGUUUUUCCGGCGCCGAAGGAGCUUUUAUCAAGCGUGACUUUCUACCCACCCUUCUUCGCAGUGUUACGGGCACACGGUCACCGCUGAGCUGCGGGUGUAGCCCGAAGGACUUGAGACCUCGUGUUCUGAGGGAGGACAGAGCUCACCGUCUCCAGCUGAGGAAGAGUAAGGUCAGCCGUGGUGAGUUAUACUCACAGAGGAGUUGUAAUUUUCGACCUGUCUUAAGAUGAUCAUAUACUUCACCUGAAGAAUAAAGUAGAAACAGACUACAAAAGACAGGGACCACUUUAAUCUCAAGGCAAAAAUGAGGUUUGGAUUAAAAUGACCAUGAAGUGUAAUUAUUAGCAACUGUGAGAGAUGUCACCCAGAAGAUGAGAAGGAUAUAGAGAGGCAAGCUGUUCUUUUCUUCAUGGAGGAUGCAGAGGAGUAUCCAAGCAGGAAACAAUUCCUAGGAGACCUUAUGCUGAUAAGACGUUUUCAAAGUAUUAAUUAAGGAGCGGGACCAUCCAAGUAAGUUCUUUGAUUUUUGGUUUUAUUGGAAACAUCGCAAACUAUCUUGAUGUAAACAACUUUGUUACUUCCCCAGCAGAAUUCUUAGAUUGCUGACUUGGCAAAGUACAUCAUUUUCAUUCCUUUCAGAUCAUUAUUUAUAUAACUCAGCCCUGCCUUUCCAGCAUUUCUUGUCUAGUAGUUCUUAAAAUCAACAAUCCUAGCACUUUGGGGAAAUAGGUUGUGUCAGUGUUGCGUGUUAAUGGGUAAAGCUUUGAUGGAGACCUUUCCAUUCUCUUCUGUUUUUACAGUGGAUGAACAGAGGAGAUGAGAUGGUCACAACUGGGAUGCAAAUCAGAAAUUGUAUCCAUGGGGGCUCUAAAUAGGCACUUGGCAGGAAAAAACUAGCAACAAAUCAACUUAGAGAAAGUGCUGUCUUUCUAAGCUUGCUUGGAAUUUCGUUUUACUUUUGAAGUAUUUGAUUUCAAAAGUAGUAUAUUCUUGUGAUUAAAAAUUAAAUGCUAUGCAAAUAUUUAACAAUAAGGUGAAAUUCCCCUACAACUUGUCCUCCAGAAGUGACUGUCACUAACAGUUUGUGUAUAUUUUUCCAGAGUUCAGUUUUUAUUUUUUCUGGGGUUCUUCCCCUUCUCCUCCUCUUCCCCCUGCUUUCCCCACUUUUCCUCCUCUUCUCCCUCUUCCCCCUCCUUCCCUUUACUCUCCUCCUCCCCAUGUCCCCCAUUUUCAUCCCUCCUCUCCUCUUUCUUCUCUUUAUGUACUCUAAAUUAGUACAGGUAGGAAUUCCCAUGGUGGCUCAGUGGUUAACAAAUCCAACUAGAAACCAUGAGGUUGUGGGUUCGAUCCCUGGCCUUGCUCAGUGGGUUAAGGAUCUGGCGUUGCUGUGAGCUGUGGUGUAGGUUGCAGAUGCGGCUCAGAUCCCGUGUUGCUGUGGCUCUGGCGUAGGCCAGCGGCUACAGCUCUGAUUAGACCCCUAGCCUGGGAACCUCCAUAUGCUGCAGGAGCAGCCCUAGAAAAGGCAAAAAAAAAAAAAAAAAAAAAAAAAAAAAAA
rnacentral:lncRNA from 9 species